rnacentral:tRNA from 1 species
GCCGAAGUGGUGAAAUUGGUAUACACGUACGCUUGAGGUGCGUAUGGAGCAAUCCGUGGGGGUUCAAUUCCCUCCUUCGGCACCA